rnacentral:rRNA from 1 species
AGUGAACGCUGGCGGUAGGCCUAACACAUGCAAGUCGAACGGCAGCACAGUAAGCGCUUGCUCUUACGGGUGGCGAGUGGCGGACGGGUGAGGAAUACAUCGUAAUCUACUUUUUCGUGGGGGAUAACGUAGGGAAACUUACGCUAAUACCUCAUACGACCUACGGGUGAAAUCAGGGGAUCUUCGGACCUUGCGCGAUUGAAUGAGCCGAUGUCGGAUUAGCUAGUUGGCGGGGUAAAGGCCCACCAAGACGACGAUCCGUAGCUGGUCUGAGAGGAUGAUCAGCAACACUGGAACUGAGACACGGUCAAGACUCCUACGGGAGGCAGCAGAGGGGAAUAUUGGACAAUGGGCGCAAGCCUGAUCCAGCCAUACCGCGUGGGUGAAGAAGGCCUUCGGGUUGUAAAGCCCUUUUGUUGGGAAAGAAAAGCAGCAGGUUAAAACCCCGCUGUUCUGACGGUACCCAAAGAAUAAGCACCGGCUAACUUCGUG